CAGCUCUCUCUGCUGAUAAUUUCCAUCUUCUUAUUCAGCUUUUCCACAGACACAAAGGGUUUUUUCCCUUCCUAGCAUAUUUUGAAUUGCAGGUAGCAUGUGACCCUCACGGCGUGUGGGAGACCUGAAAGAGGAAACUUACUUUGCCUAACGUCAGAUGUCCCCGCAACAGGAUGUGGUGAGCUGUUAUACCACAAUUUAAUUUAAUAAGGAGGGCUUUUUUUUCCCUUAUAUUAGAUUUUUCUCUAAAAUACUCCUCAGGUGGAAACUAUUGUUUUUUCCUAAAACUCGACUGUGGCGUUUUGAAUCCUGGCUGCAGGCUGAGAGCCUCCCUCGAGGCCACAUCCACACACCCACACUCAUACCCACCUCUCUAUACACAUCUGGAAUUGAGUGAAGGAGGAAAUCAGUACAUUUUUAAAUAUAAAAACUACCAAGUACAAGGGCAGGCAUGGCUUUCACUGCCUCACCUGUGAAUCUUAUCUGUGCCCUUGCUGGGGCCACGCAAGCUCUCACUAGCUGUGCGUAAACAAGCCGUAGGCGAGACGCCUUUCUCAGUCAAGUAUUCGUACCUUCACAUAACCAGUUUCUUCUUUUUGAUCAUCAUUUUGAAAGAAAGUUGACAUUUAAACUUCACCCUGUAGUGAGCUACCCAAAGUUCACCUCUUAAGUUUCACGCAGGAGUUUUGUUUCUCUAUGCUGGGAAUGAUGAGGGCCAGAACGGAGCUGCCAGGGCCUGAACGCUGUUUGAUAUAUUUUGCCCCCUUGCUGCCUGGCUUGGAAGCAACAUUUUUCUGCAUUUCUGAAUGCCCGGUUUCUGAAAGCAAUUAAGGAUCUUACAUUUUAAGGAAUGAACAAACUACCAUUUCCCCAGCAGUUAUGCAGCCCUGCCUGGCCCUUUGUGCACCUGCUUGCUCCUUGCAACAGCCCCGGGAGCGGCAAAGGCAGUACUUACUAGGAAAGUCAUGGAAAGCUGGAUGGGCCUACUGGCUGGUGCCUGGGGGACGACUCAGACCCUGGGACAGGAGGGUUCCCACCCUGCCCAGCCAGCUCCUGGCCCCAGGAGUCCGUCCUCUCUCCUCCAAAUCUGGCCCCCGUCCCUUCCCUCUCUGGUCCUCCCUGUUUCACCUGCAGGGUGCUCAGUGCCCGGAACUUGGCGUAUCUGAGGUGGCCAGAGGCGCCAGCGGAGCAGGAUGUCGGAGCUGCCACUCGCCUUCCACUGUGCUGUGAGAGCCACCGGGACACGUCAGCAUCUCCCCUGUUCUGAAAUCAACACCGAGACACACCGAGUCCCUCCGGAGGCAUCUGCAGAGGCAGCAACGCCACGCGAGGGCUGCCGACUCUCCAGCUCCAACAUUUCGUCCGGACCUCCCGGCAGCGCAGCGGGGGAUCCCCUCCCGUGAGGGGCCCGGAGGGGCUUCGAGAAGGCUGUCGCCUGAUGGGCUCCGUCAAGUUUCCCCCUGCAGACCCUCAUUCUACCAGUUUUGAUUCCAUUUUAAAUCUGACUUCCAAGUGGCACCCCUGCCGACGGUCAAAACGCCCCCUCUCCUGGUGUGUGCCCUCCAUCCCCGCUUCCUGGGGGCAGCCGGUUUCUUGCUGUCUGGACAACAGAGCUCUGCCAAUGCCACUUAUCUCGCCCGUCCAGGACUUUAUCACCAACUGUCCUACUUCCGACUCCAGCAAAGGAGCGACAGCGAGCACGUCUGUGCUUGGCUGUGACUAACAGGGCCUCUGAAUAAAGUGAAAAUAAUCCCACUUUAAGCUGCAAGAGGAAAGACCCACAGAAGGAAAGUCCUUCACGGACGGAGACCCAGGAUCCUGAAAUGCAGUGCGUCCCUUCAACGUUCUGAGAAUAAAAAUUUAAACAUGCAAGCCCCGGGAGGAAAAGCAAUUCCUAAAACAUGGCAGAAACAACAUAAAAAAAAUCUUGCUGUUGUUUUAAAAACUGACCUAAGACCAGGCAUGGUGGCUCACACCUGUAAUCCCAGCACUUUGGGAAGCCAAGGCGGGAGGAUCACUUGAGGCCAAAAGUUCAAGACCAGCCUGGGCAAUGUAGUGAGACCACCCCCCAUCUCUACAAACAAAUGUAAAAAUUAGCCAGACAUGGUGGUGUGCACCUGUGGUCCCAGCUACUUGGGAGGCUGAGGUGGGAGGAUGGCUUGAGCCCAGGAGGUUGAGGCUGCAGUGAGCUGAGAUUGUACCACUGCAUUCCAGCCUGGGUGACAGAGCAAGACCCUGUCUCAGGAAAAAAAAUAAAAAAAUAAAAAAUAAAUAGCCUGAUCUCCUGUUUUCCAGGAAAGCCCGAGCCUUGUAAGGGUUUUUCAGAUGGUAGUGAAACAACUUGGAAGUCAGCAAUUCCUAAGGAUUUUCCAAAUCUUCUCAGACUAAAAUUCUCCCACUUUCCUGCUGCCUUGUUCAAACCAUGGUUCGGAGAUCUGUGAGCAGCCUGCCAGCCGCCGGAGGCUCUGAAGCCUUUCUGAGGCGAGGUCUUUGCACCUGAACGCUCUGGUAGAACAAGGUUUAGCAAAAGGGAGCCUGGAAGGGCCCAUCCUCACCUUCUGCCCAGUCCUGCAGGGCUCAGGACACAUCCUGGGGGCUAAUCUGUGGGAAGAGGUUUGACUGAGACCCCGUUCUGCUCUGUGAAUGGGCGGACUCUUCAGCAUCUCACACGGAGAAACAACUUCCUCCUGGAUCGGAGCCCAAGUCAGGGAUAAGGUGCCUCCUGCCUGCACCGUGGGCACUGGCCGCCUUGUUACAGAAUCAACGGCCGUCCACUGAGGGACACCGGGUGCCAGGGGUCCUAACACCCCUCCAGAGCACCCGGCACAGCUCUCCUUGGAGCUGGGUGCUACCCUUAGUCUCGUUUUGAAGACAGGACUGGGCGGUCAGGUCAGCCCAUCCUCACACUGCGGUGAGUAGCGGGGGCAGGAGCAGCCUUGCUGUGGGCCACGCCCUGGGCAAUGAGCGGUGGCUCCUUGGGGGAUCUCAGAUUUUUCCAAGUCUGUUUUCUAUAUGGCUGAACGAUGUGACAAAACACUUGUCAAGGACACCCUCUCAGGUGCUCUGAUCUGCAUCUUUCACGAGCGAGAGGGGGGGUGCCAGGCACUUCCUGGUGGACCUUCAGUUACCGCCCAUCAGAACACAAGCAGGCAGCGCGAAACAUGCUGGGCCCGGGGGCUCCAUCGCCCUUUACACUGCCACACUCAGCUUCCACAUGUUCUACUGUGGGCGUGUGCCCCUCCUUCAUGUUUCUGGGGUUCAUGGGGACAUUAGUGUUGUCCUUCCCUUUCUGUCUCAAAGAAUUGACUGUGCCUGUCAUUGGACGCAGCGGCUGCCAUGAAUGUCGACCGGGAAAGCGAUGGGAAAAGCUGUUCAGACACAGCUGAGCUGCCUCUACCUGGUCACCUGCACGCCAGGCCCAUGCAGUCUGCUCCAUCCCUGUCCCUGGCAGAGCCCAUCUGGGAGUGGUGGUGACUGUGCCAGCUGGAGACCCACUGAGCACCAGGGUGCAGCACAGACAACGACGCCCUCAGGCUGCGUGCAGUGAAGAGCCGGGAGAGGCAGCGCUAGAAUUGUUUUUAGGAACUGGAUUUGGGCUUAAAGAAUAAACAAUGUGGUUCAGCCACGCUAACCCAAAUACACUGUUUAAUCCUUGCAGUUAAAAAGUUUAAGUAGCACAGAUGAAGACUAUAACUUGCAUAAACGAUUUUUGUGUCAAUUUUUAAAAAGCAUAUUUGUUCAUAUAGGUACCACUAACUUAAUUGCACAAAACACAUUUAAAAGCAUCUUCCCUCUUUUUCAAUGGUUAUGUUAGUUCCAAUCAACAACCAAUUGUGCUAUGAUUAUUCAAGUCUAAGAGUAUUUAUCUAUGACCGCUAAACAAACCAGACAGUUUGGCAAGGACACAGGCCUCAGAAUUAUCAGACAUCAGAACGUCCUGCAGGACUGCUCCUUCUUUAGAGUUGUCAUUUUCCUUUACACUAAAGCAAUACAGGAAACAAAAAAGGCCGUCGUGAUGCCACCCACGGCCUACGGGGGCAUGUUCCUAUUGCCUCUUCCUGUCGCAGCGUCCCCAUCCGCCUCACUUUCCGUCCAGCAGGCUCCCUUCUAAGGCCCACCGUCCCACUGGACACAGCGUAAUUAAACCUGCAGCAGGAACGCAAUUGUCCCCAGCUUACUCCACCAUCCUCUGAGGGACAGAAAAGUGCAUAUUCUUCAGAGGACAAGUCAUCAAAAAUAACUUUUUAAAAAGAGCAAAACAAAACAGGAAAGACAUUCUCCUCCAUUCCUAUAACUAAGAGAUAAUUAUAAAAAGUAUUUGCUAACCUUCCCAGAAAAUACACCUUUAGCUAAAGUUAGUCUUGUAACCUAAGAGGGUAAUAAUUUGGGUAGGACACAGAUAGAACCAGAAAUAUCUCAGGCCAAAUCCUAUUCUUAAAUAACUAACUUCUAAGAUGUCUCCCAAUGACAUUUGCUGUACUCAGCUUUGACAAUAUCUAAUAAUUCUUGGAGUAAGAACGCCAUUUGAUGGUGGUUGAAAACCUUAAUGAACAUAUGGAUUUUCAUGGCUGUGGCGUUCAUUACAAAGGGGCAUGAUAGAUGUGUUUACUGACUGUUUUAUGGUUUCAUUGAAUUGCUGAAUACACAGCUUUCAAUUUUUCCAUCUGACAUACACAUUUAGACUUGUAUGGCUCUCAUUUAAGGUAUUACAGUAGAUAUGAGCUAAGUACAUAAAAAUAUGGUUAAAGCCACAAAUUAGAGAUCAGAAAAUAGGAAGCGAAGAGGAAAACGCUUUUGUUCCACUGUACGUAUAUCGUGUCUGAUGCAGAGGUGGCUUCGGUGUGUGCGCCAAGGUAACUGAAGAGGCCGCCUCUCAUGUGGGUUUUUUAAUUUUUUGAGAAGAAGCAACCUCUUAGAAAGUCUACCAUAAAUGUUUCCUCCUUCACAAGCAAAUAUCUGGAUUUUCCAUAACCUCCUACAUGAAGCCUCCACCACGGCCUCCUCGGUCCACCCUAAACUGUCCGACACUGCUGGGCGCCCGGCGCUCGGCUGAGAAACGGGGUAAGAACAAGGGCGGUUCUGCCACUCCACAGUCGAGGAGCCACCACAUUCUGAAAACGCAGGGUCGCAGCGUCUCUAGAACCCUUCUUUACGAUUCUGCAUUUUUCAAAGAUGCUUUGUAAAGCAGUGGAAAAUAACAGCUUCUCAAGUUUCAUUAAAAAGUAAGUUCUCAAGUCCAGGACCUAUUUCAGCCUUCACUUAUUUUUAUCUUUUUCAUCGCAAUAAGCCACCGCCACAGGGCCUGCUAUUUUUGGAAGGAGAGGACGGGACAACGGAGGGACGGCCUGACAAGUCACAGUUUUCAUAAAACAAGCCCCUCAUCUGGACGCAGCUGGUGGUGGGGAGCGGGACCGCCACUCGGGACGUCAGCCAUUAAGACAGAAUAAUUUUCCUACCUUAACUGCCUGCUUCCUUAUUUAGCCUGAAUGUUGCACAGAAUGCAAACGCCGUGUGGAAACUGCCAGGGUUCAGGGUACAGGACCACGUGCCUGGGAGAUUCCGACAGGCUGUCCUUCCGCCCCCCACCGAGACGGCAUGCGGGCGCGUGUUUCCACGGAUCUAGUCCGUCUUAUCUGCACCAAACUGCCAUUCCAGUCACUCACUGGGAUCAUUAAACCACCACUUGCAGUUUUCCAGGGCUUUCUUUGUUCUACUAGGAAGUAUAUGCCCCCAAAUUAUGAAAUUCCAUUUCAAACAGAAUUAACAGAAUUUAAAAAAUAAAAAUGUUA
rnacentral:lncRNA from 1 species